ensembl:lncRNA
CCAGUGGUGAGCUGCACCAGCUGUGACCUAAUGUGGUCCCCCUCAGUUAAGGACAUCCUGGGUAGUGGAUAUUGGCCUGGCACCUUAAAUUUCUGCACCCUGUUUUCAAUGGAUGUCUUUCAGUCUUUCUAUGACAUUAAGAAGGCUGCACCAGGGAUGUCACUUAAGGCAUUUGUCAAAAUGCUGGAUGAAAGAACAGCCCAUUUUGGAAGGACUGGCCGAAUAUCAGCUGAUGCCUUCAGUAAAAGCUUUGUGGAGUGGAGUGCUGUUUGAGAUGGACAGGAUGUGCAAGGAGCCAUGCGUUAGCUGCCCUGCCUGCACUCCAGACGUGCUUGCCGUCUCAGUUGAUGGAAACUGUAAGCUUUAUCGCUUUCAAUCUAAUGCAAGCACUUCAGAGCAGGGGAACUUUGAAGGUGUUUUCAUUGAAAAAGAUGAGGAAGUUGCUGAGUUUAUGAAAUACAUCCAGAGACACACAAAUGAGCGUCCCAGGACAUAUUACGUUCCUUUGCUCCGAUGUGUCCUGUAAAUAUUUCCCAUAUUUAAUCAAGGUGGCUCAGCUGAGGAACCUCUUGUCAAUGCGUCCUUUUCUCUCCGUCAUGCAUGCAAAGGCUCUCAUUUGGAAAUGCGAGAUCAAAUGGGGAGGUGCGUUUCAGGAUGGGGCCGGUUCUACAACAGGAAAAGAGGUGGGACAAGUAAACAGUUUCCUGUCUAGGGCGGCCACUGAAGUACAUGUCUAAAGCAGGUAUGUGUGUGUGUGUGAGAUUCCACUCAGUCUCCUGCUCAUUAAUUCUUAUUUUUAUACGAACUGAAAUGCAGGGCGAACAGACAUGCUGACCCUCCUGGCUUUGGGGUGGAACAAAAGGAAAGUGGAACAACUGGGCCGCAGUUUGAGCCAGAGAUAUCUCAAGAUCAUACGGAUCCUUAGAGAACAAGUGGAGAGCCUGAAUGCGACCAAAAAUGAGCUGGGUGUGGAUGACGACACACUGCAGCAAUGGGUGGCCGAUGUGCAGAAAUGGGCUGAAGAAACUGAUCAAACUGAUGGCAGCCUUGGAGCGUUGCAGGCACGAAUAGAGGAGCUUGUCGUCAUCAUCAGAGUGCGAACACAAGGUUUUUACAGACAAAAUGAUAGCAACAAGAGGCGACACAGAAUUCGCAAGGUCAUCUUAGAUGAGAAGAAACGCUUGGCGGCUGCUGUUGACGACCACAACAAGCUUGCUGAACCAACAAAGCAAAUUGUAUCCAGUGAUGCCCUCAUCCAGACCGACAUUUGGCUCUGGCAGAGCACAAGUGAACCUGCUGCAGACCUCCAGACAAAGAGGUCUUUGAGAAGGUGAUGGCUGUGAGGCGCCUGAGAGAGGAGGAGAUGAUCCUUUGCAGGGAGAUGCGGCAUCACUGGACAGUGUUGCGAAUGCGAUCUGUGGUGUUGGACAAUCUCCUCAGACUCCUCCCUUGUUGGCAUGUCGGAGGAUGCACAGAAGGGACUCCAUAGCCUGGUUUUAAAAAAACAAAGUGAACUGAAAGCUGAAAUGCUCAAAGUAAAGGACAUGUACAAGAGAAUCCUCAGCCACCAACCACUCCUGGAAAUGGACUCGGAGGAGGAGGAGGACAUUCCAGACGAUGCCACUGAGCGUGAUUUGAG